rnacentral:rRNA from 1 species
AAGCUUAAAAUCUCCAUACAAUUUUUGUAUGGCGAAUUGUAGUCUAUAGAAGCGUGGUCAGUGUAGGCACUUGGGGUAAGUUCCUUGGAAAAGGACAGCAUGGAGGGUGAUACUCCCGUUUAUCUCUAAGUUGCUUAUACGUACGACCCGUUUUCUUUGAGUCGCGUUGUUUGAGAAUGCAGCGCAAAGUAGGUGGUAAAUUCCAUCUAAAGCUAAAUAUUGGUGCGAGACCGAUAGCAAACAAGUACCGUGAGGGAAAGAUGAAAAGAACUUUGAAAAUAGAGUUAAAGAGUACCUGAAACUGCUGAAAGGGAACCAAAUCGUUUCCAGUGUCUAUAAUCCGUGGUAUAUCACAUCGGCGAGCGUGUGCGUGUGUGUGCUGUUGUAGUGGCCUUUUGGUUACGCUCGGCGUAUGUGCUGUAUAUGCUUGCUGGUGCCCUGUACUGCGGUGGGACGUCAAGGUCAGUUCGUAUGCUGCGGGAAAUGACUACCAAGGAGGUAGGGCUUACGCUUGCGUUUGUCUGUUAUAUCUUGGUAGACGAGUAGUCGCGGUUGGGACUGAGGUGCCUACAACGUGCUUUUGAGUGGGCUUGGGUCUUCGUGUGCGCCGUGUGCGGAUAGCUUGCUAUGCGUGUGU